AACGUAGGACACAAGCGUUAUCCGGAGUUACUGGGCGUAAAGGGCGUGUAGGCAGAUCGGUAAGUCUACUCUGAAAGCUCCUGGCUAAACUGGGAGAGGCGAGUGGAGACUGUCGGUCUAGAGUGAGGAAGAGGAAAGUGGAAUUCCGCGUGUAGUGGUGAGAUGCGUAGAGAUGCGGAGGAACACCAGUGGCGAAAGCGGCUUUCUGGUCCUUAACUGACGCUGAGGCGCGAAAGCAUGGGGAGCGAACGGG
rnacentral:rRNA from 1 species